rnacentral:lncRNA from 1 species
UAAUUAACUUGAAAAUGGAAAUCAUCCUAUUAUCUUCAGCAUAACUUCACUAAUCUCUUUCCUUCUAUGCUUAUUUUUUUUCAUCUUCAAAUUCUCACAAGCUUUUCAUUUACUGAAACAUCAGUUUUUCCCAAAACUUCAACCAGCAGUGCCUUUAUGCUCUCUCUCCACUAUUAGCCUGUUGGGUUUAUCGAAUGCCCUUGGUCAAGCCCACUCCUACCUUGCUUCUGAAUAUAAGUAAUUCCAAUUUCCCCUCACAAGUUCCUGGAUUAUUGAUGGUAGGAGGAGGAGUAAGAAACUGAAGAGGAGAAGAAUCACUUACCUGUUAACCAAGUGUGUUGCAGUCAUAUUUAAAAUACAGUAAAAAGUAAUAAUUAUGAAGAAAAUGCAAAACACUAAAAGAUGAAAAAUUAGGGGUCUUAGUUAAAAGACAAAUAACCCAGAAAAUCAGGUCCAUCUCCCCUUGGCAAAAUGAGGAAAUAAUGGAAUACAUACUAAGGUUAUCUUAUUUAAAAGCAGGAAGGGUAAAAUCAUGUGGACAGCCAAGAAUCAACCAAAUUCCAAUGCAAAGUUGAUUUAUCAUAAUCUCUUUCCAUUCCUUCCUGCCAAACCAACCCUGGCUAACCAUGUAUGUUUUUUCUUGUCUGUAUGUUUGUUGUAUUUUUUUGCUGAAAACUGUAUCUUGUUAUCUGCUAAAGAUUAUGGUUGUCAACCUCCUUUUUUUUCAACUUUUGCAAUUUCUAAUAGCAACUAAGAGGAAUUUACUGGUGUUUGUUUUCAGUUUCUAAAAACAACAACAACAACAACAAAGCCCUCUGACUUGCCAAGCUUGAAUCAAAUCGACAUCUCAUGGUAUUGCAACAGUGGUAAGAGGAGAAGAAAUCUAGAAAAUUAGGCACUCUUGUGCAAACUCAGGAAUAGGAUGAAGAGAGACCGAUGUAGGGAGAGUAUUUCUGCCAUUU